AUUGAACGCUGGCGGCAUGCUUUACACAUGCAAGUCGGACGAGUGGCGAACGGGUGAGUAACAUAUCGGAACGUACCGAGUAAUGGGGGAUAACUAAUCGAAAGCUUAGCUAAUACCGCCUAUUAUUCGAGCGGCCGAUAUCUGAUUAGCUGGUUGGUGGGGUAAAGGCCUACCAAGGCGACGAGCCGUAGCGGGUUUGAGAGGAUGAUCGGCAAAACUGGAACGGGAACACGGCCCGGACGCCUACGGGAGGCAGAAGUGGGGAAUUUUGGACAAUGGGGGCAAGCCUGAUCCAGCCAUGCCGCGUGUCUGAAGAAGGCCUUCGGGUUGUAAAGGACGUUUGUCAGGGAAGCGGUACCUGAAGAAUAAGCACCGGCUAACUACGUGCCAGCAGCCGCGGUAAUUC
rnacentral:rRNA from 1 species